GAAAGAGUCCUAGAAAUUAAAGUCCUUUGUUCAUAAGCCAUGUACAGUGGAGAUGACAGCAGCAGCAAUCCAUUUCCCCAUGCUCUGCCAACUAGCUUAACCCUGAGCUGGAAAGAUCAUACUCUGUAGAAGUGAAAGGAAAUUCAAUCUAUGAGCUAACUUGGUCCUGUGUUUUC
rnacentral:sRNA from 1 species